UUGGUUACUGUAGGAACAGUUCCCCUGGGAUGGCCUGGUGCAGCGUGGGGAGAGCAGCAAGACCCAGCUGAAUUCAGUAUUGCGGUUUGGGCUCUCUGCGUUUUACCUGGUAGACCUGAAAUAUAAAGUCCAUUUAGAUGCCUUGUUGCCAGUCUCUGCUCAAGGCUGCUGAGGUCCGUUGAAAACCAUUGAGAAAAAAAAAGUAGCAAGUAACUACUUCAUAGAAAAGCUAGAAGUGGUAGAUUAAAGCAUGUCAGCAAUCCUUGAUUGAUAGCAGACAAACCAAACUGCUCUCAUAUUCCCUCACACAGAGCCUUUAAAUCUUGCUGACGUACCCAGUAGCUGAAAAAGCCCAUGAUGAGAUGUGAUAAUAGCUUGUAAACACAAAGUGUGGCCACACCUUGCAGCAUCUACAGCCUGAGGGAACAGAUCUGCCAAUCUACAUCUGCCCUUAAAUGCCAGGAAACAAGUCAUCAGUAAUAAAACAUGAAGACUGUUCUCCAUCUGUAAUCAAUUGCUGUUUAACUAAUGACUUUAAGUAGAAAAUAGUCACAGUCAUCUCUUAUUAGGUCCUUGAAUAAACAAGGGCAGGGAGUAGUAUGGGAAGGAGCUACUGUUUUAUUUUCCAGGUGGCUGUAGCCGCAGAGGUUUGCGUAACUGUGGCUAGUGAGGUGGGAAUGAUCUGGUUAUGGCCAUCAGCCAUGGCUAGUGUGACUGAGGGAAGUAUGCCUGUCUUUGCUGCUCAGCCUGGACCAACGUGGUGAGUUCAUAACAGCAAAGCAAGAGCUGUGACUCAGUGAAAAGACACCUCCUGAGGACUGCUCUGUCCCAUGAGGAUGGAGUUCUGCUCUGAUGAACAGCAAAUGCAGGACUUGUUCCCAGGGCCAGGCUUCUGUGAAGGAGUCUUUUAGAUAAACCACUGGUGGCCAAUGUGUGCUGGGUUACACCUGAAGACUAACCAAUAUUUUAUUCAUCCACCUACAUAAGUUGAUUUAUGCUCCUGAAGUUUGGGUUGCAGCUUACAAAUGUCUCUCUUUUCCUGGCCUGACGUAUGGCAUGCUUUCAGUAUAAGCACUUGCAAUUAUUGGAUCUUUCUGCCAGCAUCAUGAGGAGGCAGGCCAGAAAAACAACUUAACUCAGAAAGUAGACAUGCCAGAGAGAGCACCCAAAUGCCAGCCGGCACCUGUGAGCUCAGCACAACUGCAGGUGGGCUGAUGGGAACGGACCCAGGCCCAGAUGGAUAUAAGCUGCCUGAGGGGGGUCUCUUUCUGCUAUUCGUUGCUCUGGAGCAAAGGUUUCUUUAAGAUGGUGAAGUGCUGUUCCCACUGCUGCCCUUGUGUGUUGGAGGACAGAUGCAAAGUGAAAUAUCUCUUACAAACCUUGGAGAACUCAUAUGAAUGUGUAUUUAUGUUUGCAUGCAUGAAAGGAGCACCCUCAAACUAUAAAGUAAUCUUGCUUUCGGCAUUUCUCAGUCCUUGAGUCCUCAGCUUGGUAAACUAAAUAAUCCUAUAAAUAAAUGUCCUAUUAGCGUGGACUUGCAUUUGAGCAUGUAAUAAAGUGUCACCAAAUGCUGAUA